rnacentral:rRNA from 1 species
UACGGAAGGCAGCAGUGGGGAAUAUUGCACAAUGGGCGCAAGCCUGAUGCAGCCAUGCCGCGUGUAUGAAGAAGGCCCUUCGGGUUGUAAAGUACUUUCAGUCGUGAGGAAGGUGUUAAGGUUAAUAACCUUAGCAAUUGACGUUAGCGACAGAAGAAGCACCGGCUAACUCCGUGCCAGCAGCCGCGGUAAUACGGAGGGUGCGAGCGUUAAUCGGAAUUACUGGGCGUAAAGGGCACGCAGGCGGUUAAUUAAGUUGGAUGUGAAAUCCCCGGGCUUAACCUGGGAAUGGCAUUCAAGACUGGUUAGCUAGAGUCUUGUAGAGGGGGUAGAAUUCCAUGUGUAGCGGUGAAAUGCGUAGAGAUGUGGAGGAAUACCGGUGGCGAAGGCGGCCCCUGGACAAAGGACUGACGCUCAUGUGCGAAAGCGUGGGGAGCGAAACAGGGAUUUAGAGUACC